rnacentral:rRNA from 1 species
UUCAGAGGGUGCGAGCGUUAAUCGGAAUUACUGGGCGUAAAGCGUGCGUAGACGGUUAUUUAAGUCGGGUGUGAAAGCCCCGGGCUCAACCUGGGAAUUGCAUUCGAGACUGAAUAGCUAGGGUACGGUAGAGGGAAGCGGAAUUUCCGGUGUAGCGGUGAAAUGCGUAGAUAUCGGAAGGAACAUCAGUGGCGAAAGCGGCUUCCUGGACCAGUACCGACGUUCAGGCACGAAAGCGUGGGGAGCAAACAGG